UAUAAAAUGAGCUCAGAAUUUUCUUUGACAAGUAAGAGCUUCAGAUGUAACCCUCAAAUGCACGUGAAUUAAGCCUCCUUUAGUAUUGCUGGCAGUUAUGACCAGAGGCCUAACAGCAGAUAGUGCAGGAGUAAAUUGUCACUCACCUGCUCUCUCUGGGGCACUGGUCCUCCCAUGUGCUGAAGACUGUGCCUUGUCAUUUCUGGGAUGAGCUGUGAUGACUUAGGUCUUCUUGGGUGUUUCAAGACAAUAAACUUUUCUGGUCUGAAUCUUCAGAUCCUUGCUAAUUGUGCUAAUUGAUAUCAUACAAGUCUAUCAAUUGACUUAAAUGAUUAUUAGACGUUUUAAGUCAUUAACUCCAACCAUGACUAAGUCCCAUGACUAACAACUAAGAAGAUUGUUUUUCACAUAUUCUGGUUGGUUUUUAGGUGUACUGCAAAUACAUCUCAUCUUGAAAGAUGCUUUAUCUCCAGCAGUAUUUUGAUAGAUUCAAAUGCAAAAUUUUGUUUGCUUUCAUAUUCAGAACUUUCCCUUUGAUGAACAAAAACAAAAGAUGUAAUAAAAUGCUAUUCCAAAUAAGGAAAUACAAGAACUGCAAGUGUACAAUUAGAGUUACAGAGCCUCUAACUUAAAAUAAGAUAAUUAUCAAAGGAAUCUGAUAUCUGAAUUGCAGACUUUAAGUCCUGGCAAUAACAUCAAGGCUUUAAAUAUUAGCUUUUUACUGAGCCAGAAGAUCCAAUUUAAAUUGUCUGUGAAACAGACUGAAGGCCAUGUUACUCGUCUGACAUUGUAUGUUGCUACAUAGGGAGUUUUAAUACAACCCAGCAUAUCGCAAGGUUGAUCUCAUGAGAGCAGGAGAGGUGAGGGCAGAAGUCUCUAGUAUCUGUGAAGCUCAACCAGUGCUGCCCUGCCCAUGCCUUUGCCUCUCAUAUGGCUGCUGCUGCACCGGAUUUGGGGUAAUAACGUAUUUCCUCUUGCUCUGCUUUAGGAUUCCUGCCCUGAUAAGAUUUGACUAUCUGCUAAAGAUGAACAUUAUACAUCUGAGGCCAGACCUCAGUAUUGCAGCUGUUGGUCCAGUUCUGAGCAGUUCAUGAGGACCUGAUUCAGAAUAUUACUGCUGAAGAGUCAUCCUGCAACAGUGAUCAUAACAUGUGCAGAGUGUGGGAGCAACAAGGGAAUGCAGUGCAUCCAUUCAGUGUCGAGAGGCAUGUCAUCGUGAGAAGAGAACUCAGUGCUGCAAAAGGACAGGUGACAGCAGCCAUGAGGAGUAGUAGGAAGAAUUUUGAUUAGACGUAAGGAAAGAAAUAUUUGCUAAAAAAGUUAGAGUAAAGCCCAGGACGUGAUGGGAUCACCAUCCUUGGAGAUUUUUAAAACUGUCUUGCACAAAGGCUUGGCCAACCUGACCUAGGUUUGUAGUUAGCUCUGCUUGGAGCAGGUGACUGUGCAGUAUGAACUCUCAGCCUAAAUCCCUCUUUGAAACUAUGUGGGGUUUUUGUUUGUUUGUUUGUUUGUUUUGUUUUGUUAUGUUUUGUUUUUUUAAGGCUAUCAAUUAAAUUAACCAUCAUUGCAGACAGUAUGGUGAGCAUCCUGAACAUCACACUGGAAGUUCAGAAUUCAUGCACGCUGGAAGGAAUUUAAGAGAGGCCAGGAAGAAGCUAGCAUGGCUGAACAGUAGUGUAGAGGAGACAAGCAAGAGCAAGGAGCAUCUAUAAUCUUUUACAAAUGAGGAAAAUAGGAAGGAAGAUCAAUGCUGGCAGAUUAAAUGCAAAAGCAUCCUAAGACUGUCCAAACAGUGUAUGAGUAUUAAUUUUUAAAAGACACCAAAACUAGCAAUAACUCUUUUUUGAAUUCUUCAGGAGAUGGAAGGCAGACAAAGAAUCUGCAGACAUAGUAAGGGAUGAGGAUACAGAAAAGGCAUAGAAAAAAAUGACUCAACAGUAGAAAAAGUACAUAUUACCAUUUUAUUAUUUCUGUAUCAUGUUCAACUUGCCAUAAGGAAUAUAAAAAAAAUUGUACCACGAACCUAACUGAGGGAUGUAAAAUUGCUCUAAAAUUUAAGAUAAGAACACUGCAGAUGAGCUAGCAGGAAAAAAAAAAAAAGAAUAAAAAAUCACAAGAUUAAAAGAACA
ensembl:lncRNA